UUCAGGAUUUCUAAUCUGGGAUAUGUAAAAAAUGAAAUGAUAGAACAACCUUUCUGAAUUGAAAGGGGGAUUAUGUUCAAUUCAAAGCAACAAUCUUUAAGAUUAGAUAUAACAAAACACAAAUUCAUCAAAACUCAUUUCAAUAAUCAACUUAAAUUGCUCAAAUUCAAUGUUUUUAUCAUCAUAGUUGAAAAGGGUAGGAGCA
rnacentral:lncRNA from 1 species